AUGGCAGGAGGAGGAGAAGGAGGCGAACUGCAGCUGUUGGGCGCGUGGUUAAGCCCCUGGGUGAUCCGCGUGAAGGUGGCGCUGCAGAUGAAGGGCCUCAGCUACGAGUACAUCGAGGAGAACCUGCAGCACAAGAGCGAGCUCCUGCUCAGCUCCAACCCUGUGCACAAGAAGGUCCCCGUGCUGAUCCACGCCGGCCGGCCGGUGUGCGAGUCGCUCGUCGUCCUCGAGUACGUCGACGAGGCCUGGGCCGGGGCCGGGACGCCCCUCCUCCCCGCCGACCCCUACGACCGCGCCGUCGCCCGCUUCUGGGCCACCUACGUCAACGACACGUUCUUCCCGUCGUGGAGGCCGCUGUUCAGGGCGACGACGGCGGAGCAGAGAGCGGAGGCGUUCGAGAACGUGCUGCCUCAGGUGGAGACGCUGGAGCGGGCUCUCACGGAGUGCUCCAAGGGGAAGGCCUUCUUCGGCGGCGACGCCGUCGGGAUCGUCGACCUCGCGCUCGGAAGCUUCGUGGUGUGGAUCCGGGCGGUGGACGAAUUGGGCGGCACCAACCUGCUGGACGAGGCCAGGGUCCCGGGCCUGGCGGCGUGGGCCGAGCGGUUCAUGGCCGUAGACGCCGUGGAGGAGGUGAUGCCCGAGGCCGGGAGGAUCAUGGAGCACUACAAAGGGUUUCUCGCGAAACUGGCUGCACCUGCUGGUUCUAGCUAA
rnacentral:rRNA from 1 species